rnacentral:rRNA from 1 species
CCAAUAGCGUAUAUUAAAGUUGUUGCAGUUAAAAAGCUCGUAGUUGAAUUUCGAGAUCAAUUUGUCGGUCGUGCCUCGGUACGUACUGGCGUUAUUGAUUUCUCCCUUCUGAAGAACCGCGAUGUCAUUAAUUUGGUGUCGUGGGGAAUCAGGACUGUUACUUUGAAAAAAUUAGAGUGUUUAAAGCAGGCGCACGCUUGAAUACAUUAGCAUGGAAUAAUGAAAUAGGACGUUUGAUUCUAUUUUGUUGGUUUCUAGGAUCGACGUAAUGAUUAAUAGGGAUAGUUGGGGGCAUUAGUAUUCAAUUGUCAGAGGUGAAAUUCUUGGAUUUAUUGAAGACUAACUACUGCGAAAGCAUUUGCCAAGGAUGUUUUCAUUAAUCAAGAACGAAAGUUAGGGGAUCGAAGACGAUCAGAUACCGUCGUAGUCUUAACCAUAAACUAUGCCGACUAGGGAUCGGAUGAUGUUAAUUUUUUAAUGACUCAUUCGGCGCCUUACG